UUGAUUUCUUUCUUCUGGCUCACCUCGUGAAGAUAUGAAUCUUCCAACUCUUUAAUCUGCAAGGAGAGUUUGGUCAUACUUCCUUCACCUAAAAGAGAUUAAUUAUAGCUGGUCUUAUAAAGGUCCAUUUCGGCUUUGCAGAGUUUGUUACGUUCUUCAUUGGCUUCAUCCUUCGACAGCUCAGCUUCAGUGCACGAAUCUUGAAGUUUAUCAUACAUUUCUUCAUGUAUCCUUGGUUCGUCUUUCUGUGUGAUACCAUUAAGAGUUUAAAUUAUUUUGAUGAUUUAUCACUGAGUGUUAGCACUCUGAGUUAUUUAAUACAGUACAUACCAGAUCACAUGCUGAUGCUGGCACCAAGUAGACAUUAUCAUAUUCAUGAGUUGGAGAAUGCAUCAUUGGUAUUACUUCGUUUCUAUCACCAAUAAUCACAGGUAGAGCUGUGGCUCCGGAGAAGCUGACGGCAUCAUCAGUUCUUGAUGAUCCAUACUCUAUCAUUCCCCAGUCUGGGUUCAUUGUCACAAUGAAAAGAACAAGUGUGACUACUUUCAAAAGGAAAAAUGACAGCAUUGCUAGUACUUUACAGAAGACAUAAGUUUAAUGUGGUGGAGUUUAUUUAUGAACCCUGUUGAUGCUAAAUUCAUGUUAGACAACAUUACAAACUACAUAUCGAUAUCUUUGGGCUUCAUUCUACUAAGAUGACAAUUUGAUUAUGUAAGCAUAAAAUCAUUUUCUUACUGACUUAAAAAAAGUCAAAUGGCUAUUUCACGAGAAUGACAUGAUUUGUCAUUCUAAAUAUGCUUAGGAUAGUCACCUCCGAACAAAUAGUCCCAAUCAUUCAUUGCUGUUGCAACCAAUGAGCUUGAAGUGUAUCCUUUUGGGCUUGAUACUUCGUAUUCCAACCCAGCCAGUGCCAUUGAUCUCAUUUGGUUUAAAAUAUUUUACGCUGGUGAUGGUGAUGCAUUGCUUUGUGCAGGUGACAGAGGUAUUGCAGGAAUGUUUUCUUUUGCUUCCCUGUAAGUUUGAUAUGCAAUAUUAGUGAUUUUUCAGUCAUUUGGAACAGUACUUUACUGGCUUUACUACUUAAGAAUAUUUCUAACUGGGACAAUCAGAUGUUGAGUUGUGGUUGAGAGCACACUUCAGCUAAACUUGAAUUUACUAUUUUUAGAUAUAAAAGUCCGAAAAGAUACUAAAACUGCAGGUGGCAAAUGAACCUCACUCUGCUUUACCUUGUACAUAUCAAAUGCCCUUUACAAGUAAACCAUAUCUUGCACAAUGGAGCUGCUGUCUCCAUCAGCUUGAGUGCUGUCUUCGACAUUGGUGUUUUCAUUUCCCUACAGUUUGAGAACAUUGGUUAGAAUGUGCGAUCAUGAAGUAAUUCUAAGACACUGAUCUAAGCCUGCUAGCUGCAUGCACCGCUUGCUUGUUCAUUAAUUCUGUUGCCUGCUGAUCAACUCCUGACAAAACUAUAAAUCUCUCAGGUAAUUAAAUUCUAAAUAUAGUGAUGUUUGCAUUAAUAGAAUAAUAUUUGAAUCAUAGAUAGUCAUCUUAUCACUGCAUCCAGUUUUAGGAUUAAGGGUGAUUAGAAACACUAGAUCUGGUAAUUGUGAUCAUACCUUGAGUAAUGUUGGUCUGCAGCUGCUCCCAUGACAAGCUUGGUGAUGCUAUGAAUGGCAAUGAGCUCAUGAAGUCCUUUAGCAACAUCGUCCAUCUCAAUUAUUACUUUCUCACAACUAACCUGGAACAGGAUAAUUUCAUAUUUAUCCUGUCGAAAUUGUUCUCAAUGACGAUCAUAGUCUUAUCGAAAAUACUGAUUCUCGAGUUAAUUCACGACGGUGGAAAAACCGAAAACCCUAAGCUAGUAGCAACAAUGAAAUGAUGCAGGUAAUUACACCUCAAGAUCUUCCCUUGUGCAUUUAGCUAUCAGAAGAGCAUAUGAAUCUAGGUUUUCCUCUGCCUUUUCUCUCUUAAGCUUACUGUAGUCUUUGACAUCGUCCGGUUUCAUGCUGGUAUGAUCCCUCACUGAAAUACAACAGAAAAAAACAAGCUGUUCAAAAGGUAGCAGACACAAUCAGGAUGUAGGAAUUUCUGGCUAAGUUAUUGUGCUAUGAUGGAUUUUUUUGGAGUUUUAAGGUAUCUCAUGACCCAGUGAUUUUCUUUGCUGAGAAAAGAUUCCAAUAUUUCUUUGCUGAACAAUAUUGUUGGUUAUAUAUCAUGAGUAUUGAGUAGUUUCUUCUGAUCAUUAGUGAUGCUUUUGCAGUCUCCAGGUUGCACAGCUAUCUACCGUGCUCCUCAGGAAAAGAAGACAGGGAUAUGGACGUGAGCUAUCACAAUCCUGGACCCAUCGUUGGCCAGGUUGUGCAGCGCCCACAGCAAGGUGCUCUCCCCAUCGCUGACCUCUUCAGGUAAUGCAACGAACACCUUGUCGUUGGCAUUGGCAGGUGGGCUCA